AACACACACACGUUCAUUCGUCCACACACUCAAAAACACGAACACCAGCUAAAACACUAAACCAAGUCAUGAGAAGCCACAGCCAUCUAAGGCUGGGAAAUAGAAGGAUCUACAGCGCCCCCUGCUGGACUAAAUAUAGACGCACACUUUCAGACUGUAGGUAUGUAGCAUACUGUACUGUAGGUAUGUAGCAUACUGUACUAUAGGUAUGUAGAAUACUGUACUGUAGGUAUGUAGCAUACUGUACUGUAGGUAUGUAGCAUACUGUACUGUAGGUAUGUAGAGUAAUGUACUGUAGGUAUGUAGCAUACUGUACUGUAGGUAUGUAAUAUACUGUACUGUAGGUAUGUAGCAUACUGUACUGUAGGUAUGUAAUAUACUGUACUGUAGGUAUGUAGAAUACUGUACUGUAGGUAUGUAGCAUACUGUACUGUAGGUAUGUAGAAUACUGUACUGUAGAUAUGUAGAAUACUGUACUGUAGGUAUGUAAUAUACUGUACUGUAUAAUACUGUACUGUAGGGAUGUAGAAUACUGUACUGUAGGUAUGUAGAAUACUGUACUGUAGGUAUGUAGCAUACUGUACUGUAGGUAUGUAGCAUACUGUACUGUAGGUAUGUAGCAUACUGUACUGUAGGUAUGUAAUAUACUGUACUGUAGGUAUGUAGCAUACUGUACUGUAGGUAUGUAAUAUACUGUACUGUAGGUAUGUAGAAUACUGUACUGUAGGUAUGUAGCAUACUGUACUGUAGGUAUGUAGCAUACUGUACUGUAGGUAUGUAGAAUACUGUACUGUAGGUAUGUAGAAUACUGUACUGUAGGUAUGUAGAAUACUGUACUGUAGAAUACUGUACUGUAUGUAUGUAGCAUACUGUACUGUAGGUAUGUAGAAUACUGUACUGUAGGUAUGUAGAAUACUGUACUGUAGAAUACUGUACUGUAGGUAUG